UGGCUCGAGCAUCGAUGAAGAACGCAGCGAAAUGCGAUAAUUAAUGUGAAUUGCAGAAUCCAGUGAAUCAUCGAGUUUUUGAACGCAUAUUGCGCCUUUUGGUAUUCCGAGAGGCACGUCUGUUUGAGCGUCAUUACAAAUCAAUUGGAGUUCUGUCAGAGCUCUCAAAUACAGCAGUGAGCAAUAAAUCAUCUCACAAUGCUUCUUUAUAUGACUAUCGACCUCAAAUCAGACGAGACUACCCGCUGA
rnacentral:misc_RNA from 1 species